rnacentral:rRNA from 1 species
AUUGAACGCUGGCGGCAUGCCUUACACAUGCAAGUCGAACGGCAGCACGGAGCUUGCUCUGGUGGCGAGUGGCGAACGGGUGAGUAAUAUAUCGGAACGUACCCAAGAGUGGGGGAUAACGUAGCGAAAGUUACGCUAAUACCGCAUACGAUCUAAGGAUGAAAGCAGGGGACCUUCGGGCCGUUGUGCUCCUGGAGCGGCCGAUAUCUGAUUAGCUAGUUGGUGAGGUAAAGGCUCACCAAGGCAUCGAUCAGUAGCUGGUCUGAGAGGACGACCAGCCACACUGGAACUGAGACACGGUCCAGACUCCUACGGGAGGCAGCAGUGGGGAAUUUUGGACAAUGGGGGCAACCCUGAUCCAGCAAUGCCGCGUGAGUGAAG